UACAGAGGGUGCUAGCGUUGUUCGGAAUUAUUGGGCGUAAAGGGCGCGUAGGCGGCCCUGUGUGUCGGGUGUGAAAGCCCACCUCUUAAAGGUGGAAUUGCAUUCGAAACUACAGGGCUGGAGUGUCGGAGAGGAUGGCGGAAUUCCUGGUGUAGAGGUGAAAUUCGUAGAUAUCAAGCGGAACACCGGUGGCGAAGGGCGGCCUUACUGGACAGUGACGUGACGCUGAGACGGCGAAAGCGUGGGGAGCAAACAGGGAUUAAGAAAC
rnacentral:rRNA from 1 species